ensembl:ncRNA C54G7.10 ncRNA
GGUCAAGCCAAAAUACAAGCGUGAUAAGCAUACAAGUGGAUGUGGCGGAGUGGUGAGAGUGGAAGAGAGCCCCCACUCGGCGGCUCGUUGCUGAAGAGAAGUAGUGUGCGGAAGAUCUAGAUAGACAUAUGUUGAAUAGUCGU